CCUCAAAUAACCCCGGAUGGAGAUGACCUCAAGUAACCCCAUCUCGAAAUGACCUCGAAUAACCCCAAAUGGAAGUGACCUUAAAUAACCCCAAUAGGUCCCGGAAGUCCUCCCUGAUGGAACCGGAAGUGCCCCCCCGGAAAUCCCCUUGACGAAACCGGAAGUGUACCCGGAAGUCCCCCUUGAUGUAACCGGAAGUGCCCCUAAAAGUCCCUUUAGAGCUAAUGGCUGCCCCAUAACCGGAAGUUGCCUUGAUAUAACCGGAAGUAACCCCGGAAGUCUCCAUGCCGGAACCGGAAGUAGCCCGGAAGUGCCCCCAAAGGUCCCUUUAGAGCUUCCGGUUGCCCCAUAGAAGGUCCUGGCAGCCCCAUAGAGGGUCCCAUCAGCCCCAUAGAGGGUCCCAUGGGCCCCAUAGAAGGACCUGGCUGCCCCAUAGAGGGUCCCAUGGGCCCCAUAGGACCCAGCAGCCCCAUAGAUGGACCUGGCAGCCCCAUAGGACACAUCAACCCCAUAGAAAGUCCUGGCAGCCCCACAGAGUGUCCCAUGGGCCCCAGAUGGACCUGGCAGCCCCACAGAGGAAUCAGGCUGCCCCAUAGGUCCUGGCAGCCCCAUAGAGGGUCCCAUAGCCCCAUAGAAGGUCCUGGCAGCCCCAUAGGACCCAGCUGCCCCAUAGAAGGUCCUGGCAGCCCCAUAGAAGGACACAUCAACCCCACAGAGGGACCCGGCUGCCCCAUAGAAGGACCUGGCUGCCCCAUAGAUGGACCUGGCAGCCCCAUAGAAGGUCCUGGCUGCCCCAUUGGACCCAUCAGCCCCAUAGAUGGAUCUGGCAGCCCCAUAGAGGAUCCUGGCUGCCCCAUAGAAGGACCCAGCUGCCCCAUAGAGGGUCCCAUCAGCCCCAUAGAAGGUCGUGGCAACCCCAUAGAUGGACCUGGCAGCCCCAUAGAGGGUCCCAUCAGCCCCACAGAAGGUCCUGGCAGCCCCAUAGAUGGACCUGGCAGCCCCAUAGAAGGACACAUCAACCCCACAGAGGGACCCGGCUGCCCCAUAGAAGGACCUGGCAGCCCCAUAGAAGGUCCUGGCUGCCCCAUUGGACCCAUCAGCCCCAUAGAAGGUCACAUCAGCCCCAUGGAAGGACCUGGCAGCCCCAUAGAAGGACUUGGCUGCCCCAUUGGACCCAUCAGCCCCACAGAGGGUCCUGGCAGCCCCAUAGGACCCGGCUGCCCCAUAGAAGGUCCUGGCAGCCCCAUAGAAGGACCUGGCUGCCCCGUAGAUGGACCUGGCAGCCCCAUAGAGGGUCCCAUCAGCCCCAUAAGUGCCCCCCAACCGGAAGUAGCCCGGAAGUGCCCCCAAAGGUCCCUUUAGAGCUUCCAGCUGCCCCAUAGAUGGACCUGGCAGCCCCAUAGAGGGUCCCAUCAGCCCCAUAGAAGGUCACAUCAGCUCAUAGAAGGUCCUGGCAGCCCCAUAGAUGGACCCAGCUGCCCCAUAGAGGGUCCUGGCAGCCCCAUAGAGGGUCCCAUCAGCCCCAUAGAAAGUCCUGGCAGCCCCAUAGAGGGUCCCAUAGCCCCAUAGAGGGUCCUGGCUGCCCCAUAGAGGGUCCUGGCAGCCCCAUAGAUGGACCUGGCAGCCCUAUAGAAGGUCCUGGCUGCCCCAUAGGACCCGGCUGCCCCAUAGAGGGUCCCAUAGGCCCCAUAGAAGGUCCUGGCAGCCCAAUUGAAGGACCUGGCUGCCCCAUAGGACCCGGUUGCCCCAUAGAGGGUCCCAUAGGCCCCAUAGAAGGUCCUGGCAGCCCCAUAGAGGGUCCCAUAGCCCCAUAGAGGGUCCUGGCAGCCCCAUAGAAGGUCCUGGCAGCCCCAUAGAUGGACACAUCAACCCCAUAGAAGGUCCUGGCAGCCCCAUAGAAGGUCCUGGCAGCCCCAUAGAGGGUCCCAUAGCCCCAUAGAAUGACUUGGCAGCCCCACAGAAGGUCCUGGCAGCCCCAUAGAGUGUCCCAUGGGCCCCAGAUGGACCUGGCAGCCCCACAGAGGAAUCAGGCUGCCCCAUAGAAGGACCUGGCUGCCCCAUAGAUGGUCCUGGCUGCCACAUAGAAGGUCCUGGCAGCCCCAUAGAGGGUGCCAUAGCCCCAUAGAGGGUCCUGGCUGCCCCAUAGAAGGUCCUGGCAGCCCCAUAGAGGGUCCCAUAGCCCCAUAAGUGCCCCAUAGCCCCCCAUUAGGCGCAGUGUGCCCGUGCCCGCGCCAGCAGCUCGCUGAAGCUCUGGAAGAGCCGCUCCAACCAGUCGUGGUUCCUCAUGCAGCGCUGAACUACUUCCUCCUGCCCCACAUCCGCCAGCCCACCCUCAAUGGCCGU
rnacentral:lncRNA from 1 species